rnacentral:rRNA from 1 species
CCCCUAGAUGUUCUGGGCCGCACGCGCGCUACACUGAACAGUUCAACAAGUCUUAACCUUGGCCGAUAGGUCUGGGUAAUCUUUGAACGCUGUUCGUGAUUGGGAUAGACCUUUGCAAUUAUGGGUCUUCAACGAGGAAUUCCUAGUAAACGCAAGUCAUCAGCUUGCAUUGAUUACGUCCCUGCCCUUUGUACACACCGCCCGUCGCACCUACCGAUUGAAUGGUCCGGUGAAAUCUCGGGACGGCGGCUUGGUCGCUUGCGUCCGACUGCUGAAACUUGAUUAAACCAUAUCAUUCAGAGGAAGGUGAAGUCGUAACA